GCACGGGUGAGUAACGCGUAUCCAACCUGCCUUACACUCUUGGACAGCCUUCUGAAAGGGAGAUUAAUACAAGAUGUUAUCAUGAGUAAGCAUUUUCGCAUGAUUAAAGGUUUACCGGUGUAAGAUGGGGAUGCGUUCCAUUAGAUAGUAGGCGGGGUAACGGCCCACCUAGUCUUCGAUGGAUAGGGGUUCUGAGAGGAAGGUCCCCCACAUUGGAACUGAGACACGGUCCAAACUCCUACGGGAGGCAGCAGUGAGGAAUAUUGGUCAAUGGACGAGAGUCUGAACCAGCCAAGUAGCGUGAAGGAUGAAGGUUCUAUGGAUUGUAAACUUCUUUUAUACGGGAAUAAACGGAUCCACGUGUGGAUUUUUGCAUGUACCGUAUGAAUAAGGAUCGGCUAACUCCGUGCCAGCAGCCGCGGUAAUACGGAGGAUCCGAGCGUUAUCCGGAUUUAUUGGGUUUAAAGGGAGCGUAGAUGGGUUGUUAAGUCAGUUGUGAAAGUUUGCGGCUCAACCGUAAAAUUGCAAUUGAUACUGGCAGUCUUGAGUACAGUUGGGGUAGGCGGAAUUCGUGGUGUAGCGGUGAAAUGCUUAGAUAUCACGAAGAACUCCGAUUG
rnacentral:rRNA from 1 species